rnacentral:rRNA from 2 species
AGACCCGAAACCCGGUGAUCUAGCCAUGGGCAGGUUGAAGGUUGGGUAACACUAACUGGAGGACCGAACCGACUAAUGUUGAAAAAUUAGCGGAUGACCUGUGGCUGGGGGUGAAAGGCCAAUCAAACCGGGAGAUAGCUGGUUCUCCCCGAAAGCUAUUUAGGUAGCGCCUCGUGAAUUCAUCUCCGGGGGUAGAGCACUGUUUCGGCUAGGGGGCCAUCCCGGCUUACCAACCCGAUGCAAACUGCGAAUACCGGAGAAUGUUAUCACGGGAGACACACGGCGGGUGCUAACGUCCGUCGUGAAGAGGGAAACAACCCAGACCGCCAGCUAAGGUCCCAAAGUCAUGGUUAAGUGGGAAACGAUGUGGGAAGGCCCAGACAGCCAGGAUGUUGGCUUAGAAGCAGCCAUCAUUUAAAGAAAGCGUAAUAGCUCACUGGUCGAGUCGGCCUGCGCGGAAGAUGUAACGGGGCUAAACCAUGCACCGAAGCUGCGGCAGCGAACGUAUCACCCAAGACAACUUUACGGAGUUGACGAUUGACGGAGCGAAGCGACGUCAAAGCGUUCAUUAAAGUCGAGUUGGCUUAGGGAUACGUUCGUUGGGUAGGGGAGCGUUCUGUAAGCCUGUGAAGGUGUGUCGUGAGGCAUGCUGGAGGUAUCAGAAGUGCGAAUGCUGACAUAAGUAACGAUAAAGCGGGUGAAAAGCCCGCUCGCCGGAAGACCAAGGGUUCCUGUCCAACGUUAAUCGGGGCAGGGUGAGUCGACCCCUAAGGCGAGGCCGAAAGGCGUAGUCGAUGGGAAACGGGUUAAUAUUCCCGUACUUGGUGUUACUGCGAAGGGGGGACGGAGAAGGCUAUGUUGGCCGGGCGACGGUUGUCCCGGUUUAAGCGUGUAGGUGUGUGUUCCAGGUAAAUCCGGUUCACUUUAACACUGAGGCGUGACGACGAGGCACUACGGUGCUGAAGCAACAAAUGCCCUGCUUCCAGGAAAAGCCUCUAAGCAUCAGGUAACACGAAAUCGUACCCCAAACCGACACAGGUGGUCAGGUAGAGAAUACCAAGGCGCUUGAGAGAACUCGGGUGAAGGAACUAGGCAAAAUGGUGCCGUAACUUCGGGAGAAGGCACGCUGACACGUAGGUGAAGUGAUUUACUCACGGAGCUGAAGUCAGUCGAAGAUACCAGCUGGCUGCAACUGUUUAUUAAAAACACAGCACUGUGCAAACACGAAAGUGGACGUAUACGGUGUGACGCCUGCCCGGUGCCGGAAGGUUAAUUGAUGGGGUCAGCG